rnacentral:lncRNA from 1 species
CUGCUAGUUGAUUCACUUACUCACCCACUAACAUUGAGCUCCUUUUCACUGUCUGUGGGCAAGGGGAAAAAAAAGGGGGGGGAAGGAAGAAAAAAGAAAGCAGGGGAAGAAGGAAGAAAGGAGGGGAAUAAACAAAAUUAUAUAUUUAAAAAUACCCGAGUAGAGCUGCAAAUCAGUUGGGAAAGAGGAUUUUGCCUGCCUUCUUCCUUAUUAUUUUGCUGCUGCAAGGCUGCUUUGCAAUCCGUAGGAAAUACUGUUGUGCUGAGGAAGAAAACAGCUCUCUCCUCCCCCUUUUUUUUUCCCCACCCUCCCCUCCUUUCUUCUUGCCUGAUUCAGAAGCUCCAGGAAUGUGCUAAUUGGCGGCGGCCUCUUCAGAAAGGUAAGGGGUAAUUGUUAUCUGCUUUUCAAGGUGUCUUGCCUGCUCUGCUCCUUCUGGAAGGACAGGUGAUGGCAGAAGUUUGUCUUCAUGGAGUUUAGCCAAACUUCUGGUUCAUGUGGGUUGCCCUUCUAGCGCUGGAAUGCAAACAGGAGCUUUGUGCGCUUCUUGCUCUACUACUAAGUGUAGGAUACUGUCCCUUGAGAAAAUCUAGAAGAUGAGAUAUAUUUUAAAUACUUGUAGAGGAAAAAAAGUAAAACUGUUGUAUUGCAGACUGAUUAACUAAAUCUUUGCCUGGAUAUCAGCUUGGAUGGAAAGACAGAGUUAGGUCUGGAGAAGGCAAGUUGAAGAAUCUCAAAGUUUCUUUUGUUAUUAUCACAAAUGUACUUCUGAUUGGGCAAAUACGGAUUGGUUUAGUUGUUGUUCUGGUUAGUUUUUUAAACCUGAUGUCUUCUCUGGUGUCUGUCAUGGUUUUGUGGCUGGUUGUAUCCCUGACAGAUAAGACAGGAACUAUCUGGAAGCCCAACUCUAGUUCUGAAUGGUGAAACGCAUGGCAAGUCUUUCACUAUCUGGACUUCUUUCAGUUUUGGACAGAAGUGCAAAAUGUGGUGUGUGAGAG